AGUCAUUCUUCAGGGGACUGUACC
rnacentral:siRNA from 1 species